rnacentral:rRNA from 1 species
AUUGAACGCUGGCGGCAGGCCUAACACAUGCAAGUCGAACGGUAACAGAAAGCAGCUUGCUGCUUUGCUGACGAGUGGCGGACGGGUGAGUAAUGUCUGGGAAACUGCCUGAUGGAGGGGGGUAACUACUGGAAACGGUAGCUAAUACCGCAUAACGUCGCAAGACCAAAGAGGGGGACCUUCGGGCCUCUUGCCAUCGGAUGUGCCCAGAUGGGAUUAGCUAGUAGGUGGGGUAAAGGCUCACCUAGGCGACGAUCCCUAGCUGGUCUGAGAGGAUGACCGGCCACACUGGAACUGAGACACGGUCCAGACUCCUACGGGAGGCAGCAGUGGGGAAUAUUGCACAAUGGGCGAAAGCCUGAUGCAGCCAUGCCGCGUGUAUGAAGAAGGCCUUCGGGUUGUAAAGUACUUUCAGCGGGGAGGAAGGGAGUAAAGUUAAUACCUUUGCUCAUUGACGUUACCCGCAGAAGAAGCACCGGCUAACUCCGUG